GGAUGCUGGCUGGCACCCACCUUUCUGGACUUGUUUGGUUGGUCUCAUCUUUACGUACCGCAAAAAAGCUCUGCAAGCACUUGCAGGACUACGCUGUGCUUAAAAAGACGUGUCUAUUCAGGAAGUUGAUACUGUUGGAGCAAAUGCAGCAGCCAUUGCUGCUGACCAUGUUUUGUGGAGUACUCUGCGCUGCUCACAAGGAGCAAAGCAUCCCCUGUAGGGUUGAAACACCGCCUGGUCCAGGAUGUCUUUGCCCUCCUGGGUAACAGAAGUGCUGGCUGUGAAGAGGAUACUCCUUCAUCGAGGUUUCUAGUGAGCCUGCUCCCUUAUGAUCAGAACAUCUUUUGUUUCAUAUUCUGGCUUUUAUUUUUAGCUGCUCUGCUAUGAAAUCUGUCUCACUUAAAUAGAUCUCACUCUGUUUCCUCUGGUGCUUCUGGCAUCAAGUCAAUAAACUUAUUAGAGAAGUCUCUAGAGGAUUUCA
rnacentral:lncRNA from 1 species